ACGGCCACAGCACGUUAAAAUACCGGUGCCUGUAUGAUCACCCUAGUUAAGAAAAGUCGAGCUUGAUCAGUUCCUAAAUGGGUGACCGCUUGGGAAUACCGGGUAGUUGUAAG